CCUACGGGGGGCAGCAGUGGGGAAUAUUGCACAAUGGGGGAAACCAUGAUGCAGCGACGCCGCGUGAGUGAAGAAGUAAUUCGUUACGUAAAGCUCUAUCAGCAGGGAAGAAACUUCCUUUCCCUGCGUCCGCCGCCCCGGCUCCCUCCGUGCCCGCCGCCGCGGUCCUCCGUCGGGGGCCAGCGUUCUCCUGAUUUCCUGGUGGUAAAGGGAGCGUCUACUGUUCGCCAAGUCUGGCGUGAAAUGCCGCCGCUUAACUUCGGAACUGCUUUGGAAACUGGCGCACUAGAGUGCGGGCGGGGUAAGCGGAAUUCCUAGUGUAGCGGUGAAAUGCGUAGAUAUUAGGAGGAACACCGGGGGCGAAGGCGGCUUACUGGACCGUAACUGACGUGGAGGCGCGAAAGCGUGGGGAGCAAACAGGAUGAGAUACCCCUGUAGUC
rnacentral:rRNA from 1 species